GGGGGGGGGAAGAGGGGGGUGUUCGGGGGUCUAGACAUUAUAGCACGCUGACUUGGACUCAGAAUGUCAGAGGACCUUUCCGGCAGAGGAUGGCCCCCGACCCGUAUACCAGUACGUAUCUCGAGGCCCCUCCGAAUUCCUGUAUCCGCCCAAGAUAAUUAUCUCUUUUCAGACAACUGUGGCAGCUGAGUGACUAUUGAAAUGGCAAAAGGGGGCUGCAUAUUGUUUAGUAUUAAAUGUUUCAUGUCUUAUUUUGCCAAAACAGGUAUACCGUGUUAGUUCUAUCAAACCUAGAGACAUCUAAACCUUCUAACCUGCGACUACAAAAUAGCGGCUAAGUUAAUUGCUCAUCGCUUAUCGCUUGAUAUCUUCUCUCCCUAAUAUCAUCAACUAUGAGCGGACUGGUUUUAUAUAUCGAUGGUAGAUUUAUUGGAGAAAACAUUUUGGCAGUGUUUUCAAAACAAGCCGUCAACCGCCGGGGUUCCGUAGCCUACUUGAUUAUACAUCGCUGAAUACUCUGGUUAUAGCAAUCAGCUUUCGACAAACAACCUCGGCAUUGAACAUGUGUCUUAUCAGCAGAGUAACUUCAAACUCGAUUUUGCAGCAAUAACUGCUUUUUCUUAUGCCGUAGGAAGCUUAUUAAAAGGAAAGCUCAAGGCAUCCACUGUAUUUUCUGCUCUUGACAUUAUAAGAUGAGGAGCCUUGCGGUUCCUAACUUUUCACAGCCGCUGACUCAUAACAUCAUCAUCACCAUCAUCUUUAGUUAAAAACACGGUAAAUACAUCAGGCAUUAACAAUUUAAUAUAAAAGCUACAACUUACUCUUCCAAUAUUCUGGAUCACUCUUGUUUUUGUGUUCUGAAAAUGCGUUUUACACGAUAGAAAGGUCCUUCACUACAAAAACCUUUCACUUUUUUUGGUUUUGGUAGUAGCAUCUUAUGGUAUAUGAAUCUUUAACUGCUGCUUUAGCAUGUUUUGAACAACGGUUGGGCGAGCGAUUUCUUUGAAAUUCAAAGAGGUGAACGAAAAGGUUGUUCUCUCUCACGUUACUUGCUGUUUUGUCAGUUGAAGUCCUAGCCGGGGCAGUUUGUGAAAAUAAAAUUAUUGAAAAUACAACACGAAAAACAAAUUGCCUCUCUUAAAAUACUGGAUGCUUGUUAUGAAGUGUCUGGUUACUAAUAACUCAUUAUAAGUAAAGGUUUUUUAAAACAAUUUGAAGUAAAAACUAACGAUAAAAGCGUGCGACGUUUCUACCGAACUUCGGUCAUUAUCAAGCUAGCUAAAAGUGAAGACAGAAAUUUAUGCAUAUGUAUAAACAUAAAACAAA